rnacentral:rRNA from 1 species
UACGAAGGGGGCGAGCGUUGUUCGGAUUCAUUGGGCGUAAAGGGUGCGUAGGCGGCUUGGUGGGUCUGGUGUGAAAGCCCCGGGCUCAGCCCGGGAAGGGCGCUAGAAACUGCCGAGCUCGAGUGCCGGAGGGGAGAGUGGAAUUCCUGGUGUAGCGGUGAAAUGCGUAGAUAUCAGGAGGAAUACCGGUGGCGAAGGCGGGUCUCUGGGCCGAUACUGACGCUGAGGAGCGAAAGCAUGGGUAGCGAACAGG